GACGAACGCUGGCGGCGUGCCUAAUACAUGCAAGUAGAACGCUGAAACUUGGUGCUUGCACCGAGCGGAUGAGUUGCGAACGGGUGAGUAACGCGUAGGUAACCUGCCUGGUAGCGGGGGAUAACUAUUGGAAACGAUAGCUAAUACCGCAUAAGAGUAGAUGUUGCAUGACAUUUGCUUAAAAGGUGCAAUUGCACCACUACCAGGUGGACCUGCGUUGUAUUAGCUAGUUGGUGGGGUAACGGCUCAACAAGGCGACGAUACAUAACCGACCUGGGAGGGUGGUCCGCCACACUGGGACUGAGACACGGCCCAAACUCCUACGGGGAGGAGCAGUAGGGAAUCUUCGGCAAUGGGCGGAAGUCUGAACGAGGAACGCCGCGUGAGUGGAGAAGGGUCUCGGAUCGGAAAGCUCCGUUGUAAGAGAAGAACGAGUGUGAGAGUGGAAAGUUCACACUGUGACGGUAUCUUACCAGAAAGGGACGGCUAACUACGUG
rnacentral:rRNA from 1 species